CUCUUCAAUGAUACAAUAUACCACAACAUUCAUUAUGGCCGUCUUUCAGCAACAAAAGAAGAGGUGUAUGAAGCUGCUCGACGUGCAGCAAUACAUGAUACUAUCAUGAACUUUCCCGACAGAUAUUCUACUGAAGUGGGGGAACGGGGGCUCAAGUUAAGUGGUGGGGAGAAGCAGCGUGUGGCACUGGCUCGUGCAUUCUUGAAAGCACCUCCAAUUCUGUAA
rnacentral:lncRNA from 1 species